GUGCUCUCUUCGGCAGCACAUAUACUAAAAUGGGAACGCAGAAGAUCAGCACGGCCUCUGCGCAAGGGUGACGUGCAAAUUCAGGAAGCGUUCCAUACUUUU
ensembl:snRNA U6 U6 spliceosomal RNA